rnacentral:lncRNA from 1 species
CUGCUGGAGGGCUGCUGGCUGGGCAGAGCUGCUGCCCUCCAGGCGUCCCGCACAGCUCCGCACCCCGCAAUGCUGCGGUCCUGCUGGCUGUGGCUCCCCCCCUCACGCUCCCUCUUGGUAUCUCUGUGGCUGCCAGGAUGAGGUGCAGAAGAUGAAGUUCCUGAGGAACAUCGUCACUGUGUGCACAACCGCCCAACAGAAGGGCUUGUUAGAGGGCCUGGACAUCUUCUGCAGCAGAAAUAAGCUGGCACAGAACAUCCAGGUGCUGCUGGACGAGGAGCCCAAGGACAAGCUGUUCACAGCGGUGCGGCAGCAAGCCAUGCUUGCUGUCUCUGCCUUGAGCACAGUGGAGAUGGCGGUGGAGGAUGAAAUGACGUUUCUGUUACUUGCAUCCUUCAAGAGCAUCUUCUUCCUUCCUCCGGAAGAGGAACUCAACAUUCGCCUCUACAGUAUGGUAUGUGCUGGGUGAGCAACAGGAGCGCCCAUAUCUCUUUGAGCUACCUCCUGGCUUGCCUGUAUUUACAGAUGACUGAAGAUCCUUGCUGGGCAGGGUCUCAGCCUUGCUUCACCCCAUCACGUCCCUCUCACCCUUUCCAUCUGCCUGGCUGUAUCCAAUGCUUGAGGCCUGGUCUGCACACAGCACCUUUUCUGCCCUGAGGCCUCCCGUGGGCAGCGCACAGAGCUGCAGCUGUCCUUCCUUGGCAGUAAGGGAUGUGGUGGUUUUGCCCUGCAGGACAUCUGAGUUCCACCACAACUGCUCUCUCACUUUCCCUCCCCAAAGGGAAAGGUGGAGAAAAUAUGAUGGAAAGGGCUCAAGGGUUGAGCUAAGGACAGGGAGAUCCCUCAACAACUAUCAUCAAGGGCAAAACAGGCUCAGAGCAGGGAGAUUAGUAACAUUUAUUACCUAUUUCUAACAAGCUAGAGCAGUGAGUAACUCAAAAAAAAAAAAGGAAACACCUUCCCCCAUCCACCCUAUUUGACGUCCUCCCCUCCAGGGGAACGGGGGAAUGGGGGUUGCAGUCAGUCUAUAACACUUUGUCUCCACCGCUCCUUCACGGUCCCUCUCUGCCCCUGCUCCGGUGUGGGGUCCCUCCCAUGGGAUGCCGUCCUUCACAAAGUGAUCCUGUGUGGGCUUCCCACAGGCAGCAGCUCUUCAAAAACUGCUCCAGUAUGGGUCCGUACCAUGGGGUCCAUCUGUCAGGAGCAAACUGUUCCAACAUAUGUCUCCCAUAGGUAGCAGAUGCCCCCACAUCAACUGCUCCUGCGUGGGCUCCUCUCCACAGGCUGCAGCUCCGGCCCAGGGCCUGCUCCUGCGGGGGCUCUCCAUGGGCCGCAGCCUCCUCCAGGCCACAUCCACCUGCUCCACCGCGGGCUCCUCCACGGGCUGCAGCGUGGAGAUCUGCUCCAUGUGGG